AGUUGGGUGCUACCAGUGAACGUGGCAGUGUACACGACG
rnacentral:tRNA from 1 species